GUCCCCAGUUAGCACAUACAUUAGGAUAGGAACCAUACAGAGACUAGCCUGGGCCCUGCUCAAGGAUGACAUGCACAUUCAUGAAAUGUUCUGUGUUUUG
rnacentral:snRNA from 1 species